CACUCCUACGGGAGGCAGCAGUGGGGAAUUUUGGACAAUGGGCGAAAGCCUGAUCCAGCCAUGCCGCGUGCAGGAUGAAGGCCUUCGGGUUGUAAACUGCUUUUGUACGGAACGAAACGGCCUUUUCUAAUAAAGAGGGCUAAUGACGGUACCGUAAGAAUAAGCACCGGCUAACUACGUGCCAGCAGCCGCGGUAAUACGUAGGGUGCAAGCGUUAAUCGGAAUUACUGGGCGUAAAGCGUGCGCAGGCGGUUAUGUAAGACAGUUGUGAAAUCCCCGGGCUCAACCUGGGAACUGCAUCUGUGACUGCAUAGCUAGAGUACGGUAGAGGGGGAUGGAAUUCCGCGUGUAGCAGUGAAAUGCGUAGAUAUGCGGAGGAACACCGAUGGCGAAGGCAAUCCCCUGGACCUGUACUGACGCUCAUGCACGAAAGCGUGGGGAGCAAACAGGAUUAGAAACCCCUGUAGUCCCAG
rnacentral:rRNA from 1 species